rnacentral:rRNA from 1 species
AACGAACGCUGGCGGCAGGCCUAACACAUGCAAGUCGAGCGCGCCCUUCGGGGUGAGCGGCGGACGGGUGAGUAACGCGUGGGAACGUGCCCUUUUCUACGGAAAAGCCUCGGGAAACUGAGAGUAAUACCGUAUACGCCCUUUGGGGGAAAGAUUUAUCGGAAAAGGAUCGGCCCGCGUUGGAUUAGGUAGUUGGUGGGGUAAUGGCCUACCAAGCCGACGAUCCAUAGCUGGUUUGAGAGGAUGAUCAGCCACACUGGGACUGAGACACGGCCCAGACUCCUACGGGAGGCAGCAGUGGGGAAUCUUAGACAAUGGGGGCAACCCUGAUCUAGCCAUGCCGCGUGAGUGAUGAAGGCCUUAGGGUUGUAAAGCUCUUUCAGCUGGGAAGAUAAUGACGGUACCAGCAGAAGAAGCCCCGGCUAACUCCGUG